CAGCACAGAGAGAGGGACAGCAGGCUCCUGUUGUCAUGGCCAAGCGGGUCGUGAGACAGGAACCAGGCCCAGCUCUGCGCUAGCACAGGGUUCCAGGUCUCUCUCCUUGAAUUCCAGAACCCGUCUCUGCUCCAGUCGAUCUCUGGGAAUUCUUACCUCCCACUGUGGAAAGAUUGCUGUAAUAACCUCCCAGAAGCUGGUAACCAUGUACUGUAGCUGUCCUGCAGGUCCAGUGUGCAGAUCUUCCAUGGUUGGUUAGAGACAGAGGAGUGAGAGAGUUUGGCUUCUGUGCAUACUUGGAAGAUGUCCAGCUCGGUGGUUUGUAUUAACAGGAGCUAACACUGUUUUGGGGAAAGACGCCGAGAGUUCCAGAUUAAGACUGCUCAUAAAGACCCAGGACUCCAGAAUGGCCUGGUCAAUAAUGUCAGCUCAGCCUGUCCUUAAGCAAGGGGAAGGAUUCUGACUGUACAGGUUACUGCAGAAAUGCUGGGACAUUUUAUAAGAUCUUUGCAGGAACAAUUUCACUAGUCUGGUUUGAAAACGCAAAUCAAUAUCUGGCUGUGACUCUCUUACAAAUAACUAUUUCACGGUAUAUUUGCUUCUUUACCCUGAAAGUCCUACAGUAAAAGAAUUAUUUUCCCUU